UGCCGCCUUGGUGGAAUAGGCAGACACAACGGACUUAAAAUCCGUUGCCAGAAAUGGUGUACCAGUUCAAGUCUGGUAGGCGGUAU
rnacentral:tRNA from 1 species